rnacentral:lncRNA from 1 species
GACCGCUGGACUGAUUGUCCAUGGUCCGUUAGCUUUCGCGGAAAUCGGUAGGUCGAUUUCGAUGCGUUUUUCGGCGAAAUUCGCCGAAAGAACGCGGUUUCGGUUAGGAUUCUUUCCGACGGUGUUUGGUUGCUUCGUGUUUUGUCGCUGAGCCUUGUUGGCUGGUCACCAUCAUCAUUUUGUGGGUUUGAUGAUGAUGGGUGAACGACGGUGGGUUCCGGUGUCGAAAUAGACACUUCCGGGAACCCGGAUUCGUACGAUUAUCCGACGAUGAUCGUAUUGUUGUGUUACCUCGUGUUAGCUGCCAAGGCAUCCAAAUUGGAAUGUUUUGGGGCAGCGGGUGAUUCGUGGUACGAGUCGGUGAGUUCGGGACACUUGGUGGGUCCCGACGGCGUCCCGGUGUGGUUUUCGGGACUUCCGGUGAGUUACGGUGAUCGGUUUUGGGAAACCGAUUCGAGGAUCUGUGUAGGGGUUUGUGAGUCUCGUGCUUUGGGUUAGUGGUUUGGAUAUUGACUUGGUGGAUCUUCUUAGGUCCGGUAGACUCUGUGCGUACCCAGUGUUCCGACGCGACAGUGACAGGUGGGUGCUUCGAGCUGGUAGUCGGUGAGAGCGUUUCACCUCCUUCUCCUGUUUUUCUAUUCCAGUAUAUUAGCUCUACAUGUCAGUUGUUUGGUUAUCGUUUGGUUAUCGUAUUCCGUUGACUGCAUUGGUUAGUGAUUGAUAGACAUGUAGAGCAGGUUGCAUUUGUAUUUCAGUACC